GACAGAGGGUGCAAACGUUGUUCGGAAUUACUGGGCGUAAAGCGCGUGUAGGCGGUCGUGCAAGUCGGGUGUGAAAGCCCUCGGCUCAACCGGGGAAGUGCACUCGAAACUGCAUGACUAGAGUCUCGGAGAGGAUAGUGGAAUUCUCGGUGUAGAGGUGAAAUUCGUAGAUAUCGAGAGGAACACCGGUGGCGAAGGCGGCUAUCUGGACGAUGACUGGCGCUGAGACGCGAAAGCGUGGGGAGCAAACAGG
rnacentral:rRNA from 1 species